UGGGGAAUUUUGGACAAUGGGCGCAAGCCUGAUCCAGCCAUACCGCGUGAGUGAAGAAGGCCUUCGGGUUGUAAAGCUCUUUCAGACGGAAAGAAACGGUUACGGCUAAUACCCGUGACUAAUGACGGUACCGUAAGAAGAAGCACCGGCUAACUACGUGCCAGCAGCCGCGGUAAUACGUAGGGUGCGAGCGUUAAUCGGAAUUACUGGGCGUAAAGCGUGCGCAGGCGGUUUGGUAAGACAGAUGUGAAAUCCCCGGGCUUAACCUGGGAACUGCAUUUGUGACUGCCAGACUAGAGUGUAGCAGAGGGGGGUAGAAUUCCACGUGUAGCAGUGAAAUGCGUAGAUAUGUGGAGGAAUACCGAUGGCGAAGGCAGCCCCCUGGGCUAACACUGACGCUCAUGCACGAAAGCGUGGGGAGCAAACAGGAUUAGAUACCCGUGUAGUCCCUGAGCGGGCUGGCAAGGCGCAU
rnacentral:rRNA from 1 species